AAGUCGAACAAGGUUUCCGUAGGGAACCUGGGAAGGAUCAUUA
rnacentral:rRNA from 1 species